rnacentral:rRNA from 1 species
GUGGGGAAUCUUCCGCAAUGGGCGAAAGCCUGACGGAGCAACGCCGCGUGAGUGAAGACGGCCUUCGGGUUGUAAAGCUCUGUUAUAUGGGACGAACGGGCGUAUGGUCAAUACCCAUACGCCGUGACGGUACCGUAAGAGAAAGCCACGGCUAACUACGUGCCAGCAGCCGCGGUAAUACGUAGGUGGCAAGCGUUGUCCGGAAUCAUUGGGCGUAAAGGGCGCGCAGGCGGUUCGGUAAGUCGGUCUUAAAAGUGCGGGGCUUAACCCCGUGAUGGGAUUGAAACUGCCGGACUGGAGUGUCGGAGAGGAAAGCAGAAUUCCUAGUGUAGCGGUGAAAUGCGUAGAUAUUAGGAGGAAUCCCAGUGGCGAAAGCGGCUUUCUGGACGACAACUGACGCUGAGGCGCGAAAGCCAGGGGAGCAAACGGGAUUAGAUACCCCUGUAGUCC